rnacentral:rRNA from 1 species
AUUGAACGCUGGCGGCAUGCUUUACACAUGCAAGUCGAACGGUAACAGGGUGCUUGCACCGCUGACGAGUGGCGAACGGGUGAGUAAUGCGUCGGAACGUGCCGAGUAGUGGGGGAUAACGCAGCGAAAGUUGUGCUAAUACCGCAUACGUACUGAGGUAGAAAGUGGGGGACCUUCGGGCCUCACGCUAUCCGAGCGGCCGACGUCUGAUUAGCUAGUAGGUGAGGUAAAGGCUCACCUAGGCGACGAUCAGUAGCGGGUCUGAGAGGAUGAUCCGCCACACUGGGACUGAGACACGGCCCAGACUCCUACGGGAGGCAGCAGUGGGGAAUUUUGGACAACGGGCGAAAGCCUGAUCCAGCCAUGCCGCGUGUCUGAAGAAGGCCUUCGGGUUGUAAAGGACUUUUGUCAGGGAGGAAAUCCCUAGUGCUAAUAACACUGGGGGAUGACAGUACCUGAAGAGUAAGCACCGGCUAACUACGUGCCAGCAGCCGCCGCGG